rnacentral:rRNA from 1 species
AGCAGCCGCGGUAAUUCCAGCUCCAAUAGCGUAUAUUAAAGUUGUUGCAGUUAAAAAGCUCGUAGUUGAAUUUCGGGGUUAGCAGGUCGGUCGUGCCAUCGGUAUGAACUGGUCUCGCUGAUCCCUCCCUCUUGACGAACUGUGAUGCCAUUAAUUUGGUGUCGCAGGGAAUCAGGACUGUUACUUUGAAAAAUUAGAGUGUUUAAAGCAGGCUCACGCUUGAAUACAUUAGCAUGGAAUAAUGAAAUAGGACGUUUGAUCCUAUUUUGUUGGCUUCUAGGAUUGACGUAAUGAUUAAUAGGGAUAGUUGGGGGCAUUAGUAUUCAAUUGUCAGAGGUGAAAUUCUUGGAUUUAUUGAAGACUAACUACUGCGAAAGCAUUUGCCAAGGAUGUUUUCAUUAAUCAAGAACGAAGUUAGGGGAUCGAAGACGAUCAGAUACCGUCGUAGUC